GGAAUUUUAAGAUUAGUACAAAGUUUGCCUCAUAAGUUCCUUUGAUAAAUAGAAUUCCAUGAAGCCUGGUUGCCUCUGCUUUUGCUCUUCAAGUGAUUUGCCAAGGAAGAAUUCUGACUGAUGCAGAGAUAGAUCACCAUGAUGUGAGGAAGACCAAGCUACUGAGCUAGAAGAGCUCAUAGGAAGGAGUAGUGUGAUACCAGACAUGCAAGUGCGAACUUCUUAGACCUCACGACCUAACCCAACUGAAGGCAGACCCCCAAAAUGAGAGCUUAUAUGAGAGAUCAGACAACAGAAGAAGGCUCUGGGGAUUAUGGUAACAUUUUACCAUCUAGAAAAUUCUAAAGGGGAUUUAUGUGAGAUCAUGUCUUUCUGGAUAAAAUGCUGGAUACAUGAAAAGUAGUGUGUAUGGAGAAAAUACUGGAUGAAGAAAUCUCCAGGGUUGUUGAAGAAUGCUUUUGAAGAUGGUCUUGAAAGUCAGAUAUUUUAAUGAAGAUGUCAAGUCUUGAACACAUCUUCUGAAAUGCAGUCAGAAAAAUCUUUACUUCCUGUCUCUUUGGUUAAUAGCACCAGGUAUUCAUGGUAGAAUAGGAGUUGCAAUGUUGAUGGAGACUUGCCAAUGUGGAGAACAUCUUGAGUGAAAUUGUAAUGAUAUUCACAAAAUCUCACUGAAAGGUUUUCUCUAUAUUUUUACUUGAUUCUGUAUCAGUCACCUUCUAGGUACCAACACCAUCAAGAAGCCAGU
rnacentral:lncRNA from 1 species